rnacentral:rRNA from 1 species
UAAGGAAUAUUGGUCAAUGGACGCAAGUCUGAACCAGCCAUGCCGCGUGAAGGGUGAAGGUCCUCUGGAUUGUAAACUUCUUUUAUCUGGGACGAAAACGGGAUUUUUAUCUCAAUUGACGGUACCAGAGGAAUAAGCACCGGCUAACUCCGUGCCAGCAGCCGCGGUAAUACGGAGGGUGCGAGCGUUAUCCGGAUUUACUGGGUUUAAAGGGUGCGUAGGUGGGCUUAUAAGUCAGUGGUGAAAUCUCCGAGCUUAACUUGGAAACUGCCGUUGAUACUAUAGGUCUUGAAUUAUCUGGAGGUGAGCGGAAUAUGUCAUGUAGCGGUGAAAUGCUUAGAUAUGACAUAGAACACCAAUUGCGAAGGCAGCUUACUACAUAUAAAUUGACGCUGAGGCACGAAAGCGUGGGGAUCAAACA